rnacentral:lncRNA from 1 species
CUUUGUUCGCUGCUGGCUCUGCUUUGACUCCAUCUGCAAAUGGAAAGGUUUAAAAUCUUCCUUUGGACAGUGGCAGUGAGUCUACAAGUAACAUCUCAAGACAGCACUGGUGAACCGCCUGAACCAGAAAUCCGGUCUGAUUGGACAGAAGCGUUUCCUGGUGAAAAAGUGUCUUUGCAGUGUGUGAUUCAAGGUGUUUCAGAAAACUGGAAUUAUAUGUGGUUCAAGGACUCAAGAAAAAUCGUCUCCAGUGGUGAAACAAACAUACAAGGAAACACUCUCACACUCUCAGUGAAGUCCAGUCAUGACGGGGCCUAUAUGUGUCAAGCUGAGCUGCAGGGCAGAAAGGUGACGACUGCAAAAAGCAAACCACAUUUGUUAAA